rnacentral:rRNA from 1 species
AGUUCGGAUCGCAGGCUGCAACCCGCCUGCGUGAAGUUGGAAUCGCUAGUAAUCGCGGAUCAGCAUGCCGCGGUGAAUACGUUCCCGGGCCUUGUACACACCGCCCGUCACACCAUGAGAGUCGGGAACACCCGAAGUCCGUAGCCCUAACCGCAAGGGGGGCGCGGCCGAAGGUGGGUUCGAUAAUUGGGGGUGAAGUCGUAACAAGGUAAC